rnacentral:rRNA from 1 species
GAUGAACGCUGGUGGCGUGCCUAAUACAUGCAAGUCGAGCGAAGGGUCGAGAAGCUUGCAUCUCUGAUGUUAGCGGCGGACGGGUGAGUAACACGUGGGUAACCUACCUAUAAGACUGGUAUAACUUCGGGAAACCGGACCUAAGACCGGGUGAGAUUUUGAACCGCAUGGGCCAAAAGUGAAAUACGGUCGUGCUGACACUUAUAGAUGUAUCCGCGCUGCAUUAGCUAGUUGGUAAGGUAACGGCUUACCAAGGCAACGAUGCAUACCCCACCUGAGGGGGACGACGACCACCCGGCAGCUGAGACACGCCCCACACUCUGACGGGAGGAAGCGGUCCGGACUCUUACGGGAUGCGGCAAAGCGUAACGGUGCACCGCCGAGUGAGCGAUGAAGCUCCUACGCCCGUUAAACUCUGUAAUAAGGCAAGAAGAAAAGUGUAAGUAACAGUGAACAUAUUGACGGUACCUAACUAAAAAGCCCCGGCUAACUACGUG